AUUGCUGUUCGUUAGUCUCGCUAAAACUCGAGAACGGCUGGACCGAUUUGGCUAAUUUUAGUCUUGAAUUAUUCGUGAAAGUCCAAGGAAGGUUUAAAAGGAAGGUAGCACAAACGAACGGUAGCUUGUUAUUGAUGGGCGCGCAACAGAACACGUAGCGCGCCCGCAGCGGCAACGGAACGUGCUGUAUCAUCUCCGCUAAGAACUUGAACCCCUCCGUGUUGCACAUGAAGUAAAGCGAAUCGUCGACCGUGCACAAGUGAACGAAUAUGUCCUGAAACAUUCAGAGGUAUCGGUAAUCGUGUCGGGCAUUGUCAAUCGCAUAUUUAUGUGAAAACUGAACGAAUUCAAAUUCUGUUCUAGAAUGAUUAUGUCACACCCUGUAUAUUAAUAAUAAUAAUAAUAAUAGUAAAGUUGUGU